rnacentral:rRNA from 1 species
UACGUAGGUGGCAAGCGUUGUCCGGAAUUACUGGGUGUAAAGCGCGUGUAGGCGGCAGACCAAGUCGGCGGUGAAAGCGCCCGGCUCAACUGGGCGAGGUCCGUGGAAACUGGUCAGCUGGAGGACGGUAGAGGCGAGUGGAAUUCCCGGUGUAGUGGUGAAAUGCGUAGAGAUCGGGAGGAACACCUGUGGCGAAGGCGGCUCGCUGGGCCGGUCCUGACGCUGAGACGCGAAAGCGUGGGGAGCGAACAGG